UCGAGUCUCGACUGCAUCUUCUUGUUUCUAUGAAUGAAACUCCAUGGAAAUAUGAUUAUUAAGUUCCAUGUCCAUCAUCACUUCUUCAUCCCAAAAAUGUAAAACCAAACCCAGAAUUGAAAAACCAAACCAAUCCCCAAAAAUCGUAAAACCAAAAUGAAACCCAAAAUCAAAAAACCAAACCAAUCCCCAUGAAUUAAACGAAACUCAAAAGAAAAACGAGAGCCAAAUACGAGAAAACCUUAAAAAGAGAAACCAGAGGUGAGUUUAUGUACAGGGACGAGAAAGGGGCGGUUGGGUGCUUCGACGGUGGUGGUCUCGUGGCUUUUGUUAGUGUAGGGAGGAAACAAUGAUGGAGGUUCUUGGAGACGGAGUUCGCUGGAUUGGUUCUUGGCGAAGUUAGGGUUUGAAUACGUUUUCUAUUCAUCUUUCUCAGGUUUACGGUGGCGCGUACAAUCAACAUCCACUUCAUACAUUUAUUCUUUAUAAUAUGGUUUGUCAGGUUAUUCGCUAAUUUCUUGUUGUUUGGGAUAUCGACAGCAAGACAGAUGAUAGUUGACACUUGACAGUAAACCUGGUCUCUCCAAAAUGAGUGUCAAGGUGGCGAGUGGUUUCAUUACUCAUGCGUCGGUCUGACGCCCGAGACGAGGUUCAAGGGGAAGUGGUAUUGUAUGACCUGCAGACAACUUCCAUUGUAACGGGUAAUUAAGGGGAUGGCUAGGAUGGCUUCUGCUGAUAUUAUGUGUGUUGGUUUGAAAGUUGUGCGAGAAAAGUUCUCUGGCAUCAUCAGGUAAUCAUCUUUUUAAGAUUUUUGUUUGUUAAGAAGGUUGUAAGCAUUGCAUUCAACUUCUUUUUGGAGUAAUUUAGCGGUUCAGAUAUGCACAAGUUGAAAAAUUCUAGACGAGUCGUGUACAUGUUAAUUAAAUCAAAUAUGGGUAUACUACUUAUUUGAUGUGUAUGUAUGCAUAUAUACACUCUCUUUGAAGCAUAUAAUGUGCUUCUAGAGCAACCCACGUGAUGAAAUUUGCAAAUGUAACAAAAGCGGAGUAAGCUGUAAACCUGAACUUUCUUGCAAAAAUCCAUUUUCGUAUGAAAAAUACUCUUUCCAACCUAUUGUAACAAAAUGAAACUGAACUUGGUAAAAGAAGAAACAUAAGUACAUAUAAAUCUACAGUUAAUUCUGCCAGAAACUAAUUCAUUGUUUUAGCCCCAAUAAACUUAAGACACGAUGGUCUGUUCUAUAUGCCUUGAUUAUAUGCACCUUAUUCAUGAUAUGAUAUAUCUCUACAUAUAUAGUAUAUGCCUUUAUUAUAUGCACCUUAUUCAUGGUCUGUUCUUAAGACGCCUGCUGCAAGUAAGUUGUAUUAAGUCAACUGUUUAUAAUUCAGUUAUAUUCUAUAUGAUUUCUUCUUUGUUUGUUUCCAUUUCAUCCUAUACACACACACACACAUCUGGCCACAAAUCAUGUUUUGUCCCUACUGUUUCAUAUGGCUGUUCUUAACACGUUCUUGAUUUAUUUAUGGUUGUGUGACCUUGCAUUAUGGCUGUGACCUUCCAUCACCAUCAUUAGCAGUAAAAUAUGUUUUUAUAGCAAAAGGUCUUACCAUUGGGUUAAGUCGGUGCAUAAAUUUAUAUUUCUCAAACUCUGAAAUUUCUAUCACAACUUCUGGUAAGAUUAUUAAAUCAAUGCAUAAAUUCUUUGGACUUUUUACCCUUCAUCAUCAAACCUGCUUACAUUAAGCUUUAUAUAUAACCUGCUUCUUUGUACAUUUUUUGUCAUUAUCCUCUCUACAACAGCUGUUUCUUCAUGGUAGCCAUAUUUAGUCUAAUGGAUUUUAUUGUUUGAGUCUAAUAAAUUCUACAGCAGCUGUUUCUUCAUGGUAGCCAUGACCGUCCCUGUUCACAUGAUUGUACAUAAUUUGUUCACACUGCUUACAACUAUGUUCAUAAUUUGUUCACACAUACUUGAACUGUGCCUGCUGUAAAAUUCAGUUGUAUUAAGUAAAUUGUUUUAUAAUUCAGUUAUAUUCUAUAUGAACUGUGCCUGCUGCAAGUAAACUGUUUGAUAUC